rnacentral:sRNA from 1 species
UUUUAAUAAAUUCAAUGAAGAGCAUAAUUGUAAUUUUAUAGUCAUCUUUAACCCGAGUAUCUUCUUUUGUAACCUUAAUUUUUUUGUCAUCGUUCAAAGUUAUCUCAUAACUUUUUAUUUUCUUUACGUUUUGAAUGUUGGUACACAUA